rnacentral:rRNA from 1 species
AUCCAUACCUGAAUCCAUAGGGUAUGAGAAGGCAGACCUGGGGAACUGAAACAUCUUAGUACCCAGAGGAAGAGAAAGAAAAUUCGAUUUCCUGAGUAGCGGCGAGCGAAACGGAAAGAGCCCAAACCAAGAGGCUUGCCUCUUGGGGUUGUAGGACACUCCAUACGGAGUUACAAAGAAACGGCGUAGAUGCAGCGAUCUGGAAAGAUCCGCGAGACAAGGUAACAGCCCUGUAGUCGAAAUGUCGUUUCCUCCGGAGUGUAUCCUGAGUAUGGCGGGACACGUGAAACCCCGUCGGAAUCUGGGAGGACCAUCUCCCAAGGCUAAAUACUCCCUAGUGACCGAUAGUGAACCAGUAC